AAAAUGUACAGGGAACAUCACGUCAAAAUAAAAAUAACAGAAAUAGACAUAAGUACUGAUUCUUCAUAUUGUGGAUAUUUAGAUGUUACACAGAAGAAGAGAAAACCUGUAGAUGUGGAAGAAAAACCCACAUUGCACUUAUCAAUGGUAUAGUAUAGAUUCUUCCAUUAUUGGAAAUUCUGAUGAAAUUCUUUUGUUAAUCAUAUUGACCCCUUAUUUAUCAGGCGUGACUGUAGAAAACUGUAUACAGUCAGUUCAAAAUAGCUUCAAUUGCAGCAGCUGCAACAAUAAGAUGCUGCUUCCACACUGAUGCUUCAGUAUUAUUAAACUAAUGAUGCUGUACAUAAUAAUAAACCAGUCAGAGGAACUAAAUCAGUAUAUUUACUUGGAUACUUUAACUAUAUUUUGCCGCUUAUACCUAUAUAUCUUCAAUAAAGCAGUAUUUUCACAUUGAUAAUUUUCUCUCAAUUAAGAUAAACCCGUAAGUAGCUGAUUGGUUAAGGUUCAGGAAGCACGUAGGGACAAGCCAAUCAGAGGCAGAGUAGGGUGAGUCAUGUGACCACAGACGCACCGCCAGUGACAGAGUACGUUCGCCACUACGUCAUACGUCCAUCUCUCGCCCGCAGUCUUUAAUUUCAGCUGUCAGUGAGGAAAAACCGAAAAAAAGCGACAAAAACACGGAAAGAUUUACCUUCAACACACACCUGAGAUAUAAAUGACGGAGGACAGAGAGGAAUGGACUGUGAGAUGAAAAUGUGAAGUCAUGCACACAACAGGACAGUUUGGGAGAACUUCAAAAGUCAAGCAGUGGAGAAAGGAAACCACCUUUGGAUCUGUAAAAUUACAUCAACGACAACAACAGCAACAACAACACAAAGGUUUCCCAGAGACUGUGGGUUGAGGAGGAAUUGGAAGUUUGUUGGCUUAGACCUGGUGUCAUUCCAUCAGUGUUAAACUUCCCGGCUCAUCUUGGAAGAGUACGUGCCAGAAAGACCACGACCAAGUAGCCUUGAGAUCUUAGGCAGCGUCUCCCUCAGGUCCCUCUCUAUCUCCCCAUACAUCCACCAACCACUGGAACACAUCUCCAAAGUUCUGCCGGGCCAGCUCAGCUUCCCCUCAGAAGAAGUGCCACCACCUGCCAGAUGAAGGAGCCUUUUGAGGGGCAGCUGGCAUCGUGAUUGGACUGUACUUUGGUCUGUUCCAAUCCAGCUUCAGCUCUAGAGACGGCAGGCGGGACGAGUCAACGGAGGCCGGGUGGACGAAGGCAUGCAGCUGAGUACAAUCCAGAAAACAACAGAGGAGGAGUGCAGCAUCCCAGGGCCAGAACAAGCAGAGUAGCAUCGUAUGUCUCUUAGAAAACAUCAUAGUAUAGCCUUUGGUAUGAAAAAAACGCCAUCAUAUACAUUGUAUAUUGUACAAAUAAGUCAAAGCAAAGAGACAUACAUUGUAGAAUUGUAGUAAUUGUGGGCUGACUGAUUUACUGAUUAUCAGUAUUUUAUUUUUUACUGAUUUACGGUAAUAAAUACAUUUAAAAAUGGUGCUACUUUGGCUCUGAACCUUUAUCUACCUGUGGUCGCUCUGUCUUCUGGAGUGAUUUGAUUGGUUAUACGUAACGAAUAAAACUCCUUUAACUUAACAUCUGUAAACAAAAGAAAAACGUAUCAACAAAGUUUUCUGUUAGUUUGUGUUCUUCUAAGUUUAACUCAAGAUUUUAAAUACUUUCAUUUACUGCAAAUGAAUAUCUACUCCAAAUGUCUCACUAAUAAUCAUUAUCAGCCUUAAAAACCCACAAAACACCCCUCUAUACUCGACCACACUUAGUACAGUCCAGUUCCCCCUUCUAUAAAUCUGCUUGGAAUCUUCCACUUCCUGUUUGUCAAAGUGGCCUUCUACCUGGACAGGUUUUGUUGGAGCUCAUACAACAAACAUUUUGGGUAACUGCACUUUAAUAUGGAUGGAUGACACUGAAUUAGAGUCUGUUUUAAUGAGACUGAGUUCAGAUGUGUAGCUCUGUCAUUAAAUAGUAAAUUAUUUCUCAGAAUUCACAGAGAAAAAUCUGAAAUGUUUGCUAGGUUAGCGUCCCACAUGUUCUUUGGCUCAGCUAAAGCUAACUCUCGCCAACUUCUGGAUCUCUUGAGUUGCUUGUUAAAUUAUCUUGCUAGAGUUGCUGAAGCUCAGAAAGUCUGAGAUGUUUGUUCAAAAUAAGCUCAUUCUCAAGUCUUAUCUGAACUGUCCUCUUUUGUUUUAACUUUCCCGAAACUUAAGAGUUAAUGACAGAGCAGCACAUCCAGACUCAGUCUCAUUUAUGUAGAGAUUAAACGUCAGUGUCAUUCAUUGAUGUUAAAGUGCAGUUUUUCAAAUGUUUGUUGCACAUGCUCCCGACCAAACCAGUCCAGGUGGAAGACGAUGUGAAGAGAAAGCUCCAGAGGAUGAAUAUCACACAUUUACAUUGGAAAUUAAUGUCCUUUAAUUAGACAUUGUCAUGCAAAAGUUGGAUUUCCCUUUGUUGAGUGCUUUGUUGAUGUUGGUUUCUAAAUGUUUUUUGACACUCGGCCCCAAAGAUUAAAACCUUCUACGGCUCACAAGCUGCAACAAUUCACACAUUAUCAACUAUCUUUCUGACUAAACUAAGAUAAAAAGUGAAAAACUGCCUGAUUCCUGCAUCAGCAAUCUUUUUGGUUUUUAUGACAGUAAACUGAAUAUAUUUGGGUUUGACAUUUUAUAAACCAAAACAAGAAAUGAAUUACUGGAGAAAACAACAGAUUAAUGGACAAAGAAAAUGUGUUUUCUAACAUAUAUGGCUGAAUUACUCCAACAUUACAAGAUACAUACAAUUUAAAUUCUAUUUUAUUUAUAUAACGCCAGUUACAGGUCAAAUUGUCUCAAGACGCUUUAUUUUUAUAUUUUUUUGUCAUACUUAAAAUAUGACAAAGUAAGAAAUUUAAAGCUCUUGACCAGCCCAAUUUAUUAUUUGGUUUUUAAGGGAUUAAUCGACAAUUAAAAUAACUUUCUCCACUAAAACUAAUAAACAUGAGGUCAAAUAGAAGGAAGAGUUUUAAAUACUGCAGUUCCACGAUGACAAGAAUAAAGUUUGUCAACAAAAAGUAAAUCUGCUGGUGGAUUCCAUUAAAGUCCUAAUAAAUGAUAAUAAAAUGUGAUACUAAAGGUUUGUGGUGCUAAAAAUGUCCAAGUAAAGAUAUGAAGUUGAACAUGUGGAUGGAGGUUGAUAAAAGUUGACCUCCCUUCAUUUCUCUGGAGUGACUCCAUGGAUUUUGUGGACGGUGGUUAAAGACCUGCUCUUCUAGUCAUCUUCCUUCUAGUCGCUGUAAAAAGUCAGUCCAUCCUGGCCGACUUCAACACCUCUUCAUGACAACUUGUUCUGCCUCCGACCUGGUGGAAACUCCAAAAACUCGGGAAAACCCGUGGAGACUCGAAGAACUCGUGGA